rnacentral:rRNA from 1 species
CCUACGGGAGGCAGCAGUGAGGAAUAUUGGUCAAUGGCCGGAAGGCUGAACCAGCCAAGUCGCGUGAGGGACGACUGCCCUAUGGGUUGUAAACCUCUUUUAUAAGGGAAGAAUAAAUGCUACGUGUAGCAUGAUGCCUGUACCUUAUGAAUAAGCAUCGGCUAACUCCGUGCCAGCAGCCGCGGUAAUACGGAGGAUGCGAGCGUUAUCCGGAUUUAUUGGGUUUAAAGGGUGCGUAGGCGGUUUUUUAAGUUAGUGGUUAAACGUCGGGGCUUCACCUUGCUUUGCCAUUAAUACUGUAAGACUCGAGUUCAGACGAAGUAGGCGGAAUAAGUUAAGUAGCGGUGAAAUGCUUAGAUAUAACUUAGAACUCCGAUAGCGAAGGCAGCUUACCGGACUGCGACUGACGCUGAAGCACGAGAGCGUGGGUAGCGAACAGGAUUAGAUACCCCUGUAGUC